rnacentral:rRNA from 1 species
AGAGUUUGAUCCUGGCUCAGAUUGAACGCUGGCGGCAUGCCUAACACAUGCAAGUCGAACGGUAGCAGGAGCUAGCUUGCUAGCUCGCUGACGAGUGGCGGACGGGUGAGUAAUGCGUAGGAAUCUGCCCUUAAGUGGGGGAUAGCCCGGAGAAAUCCGGAUUAAUACCGCAUGUGCUCUACGGAGCAAAGCGGGCCUCUGUUUCAAGCUCGCGCUUGAGGAUGAGCCUACGUCGGAUUAGCUAGUUGGUGGGGUAAAGGCCUACCAAGGCGACGAUCCGUAGCUGGUCUGAGAGGAUGAGCCAGCCACACUGGGACUGAGACACGGCCCAGACUCCUACGGGAGGCAGCAGUGGGGAAUAUUGGACAAUGGGCGAAAGCCUGAUCCAGCAAUGCCGCGUGUGUGAAGAAGGCCUGCGGGUUGUAAAGCACUUUUGUCGGGAAAGAAAAUCACAGGGUUAAUACCCCUGUGCCUUGA